ACUCCCCACCGCCACACCCCAACCAACGAAUAGCUUGUGUGAUGGAUGACCCAAGCACAAGCUAAACACACCAUGGGGGCCUUGGAGACACACCAAGGCCACCAGAGCAGGGCAGGAUUUUUUUCAGUUCUUCAAAGCACAGGAAAUGUGUGACUAUGACCAAAUGUUCUGACAUGUUUCAAUUUGCACCAGGCUGCAUCACUGCUCACCAAGAAAUACGUUUUUCAGCGCUGUAAGAAAUACCAUAAGCAGGUCCAUGGUCCUGCUGCUCAUCCUCCCACUGCUCAAGUAUGGAUCUGCUACGUGGUGAAGGUUUCCUCCUGUUGUUGUGAGUCUGUCUGGCUGGGAUCUGGAGCCCCAAGUUCCUUAUCACUUAUAAUAUCAUACAAGAGGUGAUGAAGUACACAAACUUGGAGGAACGGAGAACAGCAACAGCUGGAGGAAAAGAGUGGAAAACUGUCAACGAAAUGGAUGUUGAAAUUCUUCUAUUGGUGUUCUGUGUAAUAUUUGUAUUUUUCAAUUAUCAGAAUGUUCAAAAUCUGUUAUAAAGUGAAAAAUAAACAUAUUUCAAACAUGUUA